AUUGAACGCUGGCGGCAUGCCUUACACAUGCAAGUCGAACGGUAACAGGUCUUCGGAUGCUGACGAGUGGCGAACGGGUGAGUAAUACAUCGGAACGUGCCUAGUAGUGGGGGAUAACUACUCGAAAGAGUGGCUAAUACCGCAUGAGAUCUACGGAUGAAAGCAGGGGAUCGCAAGACCUUGUGCUACUAGAGCGGCCGAUGGCAGAUUAGGUAGUUGGUGGGAUAAAAGCUUACCAAGCCGACGAUCUGUAGCUGGUCUGAGAGGACGAUCAGCCACACGGGGACUGAGACACGGACCAGGCUCCUACGGGAGGCAGCAGUGGGGAAUUUUGGACAGUGGCGCAGGCCUGACUCAGCAAUGCCGCGUGCAGGAUGAAGGCCUUCGGGUUGUAAACUGCUUUUGUACGGAACGAAAAGCCCUGGGUUAAUACCCUGGGGUCAUGACGGUACCGUAAGAAUAAGCACCGGCUAACUACGUGCCAGCCGCCGCGGUAACAC
rnacentral:rRNA from 1 species